rnacentral:rRNA from 1 species
GACGAACGCUGGCGGCGUGCCUAACACAUGCAAGUCGAACGGAACUCGGGACUUCGGUUUUGAGUUUAGUGGCGAACGGGUGAGUAACGCGUGAGGAACCUGCCUUUCAGUGGGGGACAACAGUUGGAAACGACUGCUAAUACCGCAUAAUGUAUCGAGGGGGCAUCCCCUUGAUACCAAAGCUUUAUGUGCUGAAAGAUGGUCUCGCGUCUGAUUAGCUAGUUGGUGGGGUAACGGCCCACCAAGGCGACGAUCAGUAGCCGGUCUGAGAGGAUGAACGGCCACAUUGGGACUGAGAUACGGCCCAGACUCCUACGGGAGGCAGCAGUGGGGAAUAUUGGGGCAAUGGGGGAAACCCUGACCCAGCAACGCCGCGUGAAGGAAGAAGGCCUUCGGGUUGUAACUUCUUUACCUAGGGACGAAGAACGUGACGGUACCUGG